AUCAACUAUCUUAAUACCAAUAUCAUUCCCAUAACUUUUUUUCUUUUAUUUUCUUUGCAGUUGGCCGCUCCUUGCAUUAUACAAAAUAUCAUACACUCUUUACCCUGUUAUCGGAACGCUUACCUGCAUUAUCGUGGCUAUCAUUAUUACCAUCGCAACAGGUGGCGAAGACCUGAGUCAAGUGAGACCGGAGCUGGUGAGUCCCAUCAUCCGACGGUUCCUCCCUGCCCGGUCGGCGACUAUGAAGGACGCCUAUUACCUCCCAGUCAAAACCUUCUCGAUGGAGGAUUCCGCCAACGGACACCAGCUGUAUCCUAUACGCAAAUCUGAGCCUUAGAUUUUUGUCUUCUAUUUGUUUUUUCUUUACUAAGUCUUUUUGCUUCUUUUGUUUGUGUUUUGUUUCCUCUGCUGAGUCUGUGUUCUUUCGUUUUACCCUUUUUUUCUUGUUUUCUUUUCUCCGUCUGUUCCCUCAGUCUUAUUUCAAUUGCACAUUAAUCAUGAUAAUGUGCUCUUGAUAACAAAGAUGCAUUAUUGACAUGAUCCAUAAUCCAUAAAUGAGUAAAGUUUGAUUUUACUCUCCUCAGCGCCCUAUUACGAUGGCGCCAUUGUUGUUUCAAGUACAAGAAAGUUCAGUUUCAUAUAUCAGUUCGCCGUAUUUUGUCUUUCAUCUUCAUUGUAAAACAAGAAAAAAACUAAAAAAACAGAAAGAUUUCCCUGUUUAUUCUCGUUAUGAAGAAGGAUAAUGUAAGAGAUACGAUACUCAUAAGUGUUUUGGAUGUUCAUAUUCUCGAAAGAAAAUCAAAAUCUCAGUAAAAUUCUGUGAUCGGAGUCGAGUCCUGUGUUCGAACCACUGAUUGAAACACUUGAUGAAUUUAGUCUAUGCAGUUCGAGUACAGGACCUUAAUUGAGCUAAAUGUAGAAAAAGUAUGAGAAUUGAAAAAAAAAAAAAAAAUCACAGUGUAAGGUGUUAUUAAUUCUUUUUAAAAAAAGUCUACAUUUGGCACUGAACUCUGUAUGACUGAAUUAAGUUUGACUUGUUCGUAUUACUAGAGAUAAAUAUUGGGCCAACUUUCUAGACUAGCGCUCGAAAACUGCUUUCAGUUUUUUUAAUUGAUUGGUAUUUGGGAAUUUUAAUUGGAACUAACCACAACUUACGCAAAGUGGGGACUCAAUAUUGGUUUUGAUAAUACGAUCAAAUGUGUAUAUAUCUAUAAACAUGUAUAUCUUGUCCAUUUUUUUACAUAAUGAAAAUAUUUCUGUAUAUCACAUAAAUCUUUUUGAAAAAAAAAUAUCACUUCUUAAUUUAAUUUCUAAUAUUUCUAUUUGCACUUAUUCUUUUCUUCUAUUAUUUCUCUCUUUCUCUAAUCUUCCCCCAUGUGUCCGUCCUCUUGGCCUUAUUAAAAGAGGCGAGAUUAUCUCCCAUUUUAUUUUUUAAGAAAUUAUAAUAAAUGUAAAUCUAGUAAAUGUAAACAAUUU
rnacentral:lncRNA from 1 species